rnacentral:rRNA from 1 species
UGCGCAGGUGGGGGUGUAAGUCAGUGGUGAAAUGUUGCCGCUCAACGGUAAAAUUGCCAUUGAUACUGCAUCUCUUGAGUAUGGUUGAGGUAGGCGGAAUGUGUUGUGUAGCGGUGAAAUGCAUAGAUAUGACACAGAACACCGAUUGCGAAGGCAGCUUACUAAGCCAUUACUGACGCUGAGGCACGAAAGCGUGGGGAGCGAACAGGAUUAGAUACCCUGGUAGUC